rnacentral:rRNA from 1 species
UACGUAGGGUCCGAGCGUUGUCCGGAUUUAUUGGGCGUAAAGAGCUCGUAGGCGGUUCCGUAAGUCAGAUGUGAAAACUCAGGGCUCAACCCGGAGACGCCAUCUGAUACUGCGGUGACUGGAGUCUGGUAGGGGAACACGGAAUUCCUGGUGUAGCGGUGAAAUGCGCAGAUAUCAGGAAGAACACCAAUGGCGAAGGCAGCUCUCUGGGACGGUACUGACGCUGAGACGCGAAAGCGUGGGGAGCGAACAGG